CCGUUUUCAGCGGCACAGGAUAUCUGAUGUCCGCUCCACGUUUUGGAGGCAUUUCUGACCUAACAUGGCGGCGCCCACUAGAAAAAGCGCACAAGUGCUCAGACGAUGUGAUAUUUCUCACUGACGGACGUUUGGACGCCAAAUAUCUGUGCACUGAGGCUGCCGCUAUUUAUGCACGACGUUGUCAAUUGUCAACAUAACACGGUGUUGUCUUAUCGGUGUUGGCAGCGUGACUACAGCAUGUUUAGAGUUGUCCUUUGCCACAGUCGCUUUUGUCCGAUAUUUUAUAUCCUCAUAGCAUUUCGGGACACUAUCUGACAGAUUCCUUCUUUUGUAGGAAGCCGAGAUGCAGAACGAAAACUGUGCAGAGGACGUGAACUUCUUGCGCCUGCCAUCGGUUAGAUGGCAGCCGUCCUUCAAAGCUAUUGUUGAUGUUGUACUACUACAGAACCUGUGUCAGCAAAAGCAUUGUAAUCGUUCGCAGAUUUUGUCAGUGGAUUAUGUGUGCAUACGUUUUGAAUGCUAGCGUUAGGUCAACACUUUUGAAAACAAUGCCAAUGACACGGUUUGGGUUUGUUUAGAUAAUCGCGUAAUUCUGAGCAUUUUCAUAGUUUUUUUUUUUUUUAAUCUCCUCUUGCCUUUCGGAAGUGUUAUCGUUGAUACAACCUCGUGACGAAUCUAUGUAUUACCCGUCUUUUAUCACCCAUUUAUUCAACUACUGGAAGUGACCCACUUAUAUGUUUGGCCAUUAUAGCUUUGUUGCUUUUGUGUGCCAGUCCCAUCAUAAGUUUGUGCUGGUUCGUCAGGAUGGCUGCUUUCAGCAAUUUUUUCAGCCGCCUACUCGGGCUUCGACGGCGGUUUCAACGCGACGGACUUUCCCUUCGGCGGCUCUCUGCUCGAAAGUCCCGAUGCGACCCCCUUCCCGCAGCGGCCUUCGACGCAGUAUUCCGUGCCCACCCACCGCCGCCGCACCCCAUGGGGCCUGCCGUGCAAAUGUAACCUCUGUCCGGCGUCUUUCAAGAUCAAGGCCGACCUCACCCGGCACCUGAGGACGCACUCGAGCGAGCGGCCGUUUGUGUGCAACGUGUGCGGAAAGUCCUUCAAGCGCAAAGACAACAUGAAGGUGCACGUGCGUACGCACAGUGCAAUGAGACCGUACGUGUGCGACGUCUGCGGCAGGACCUUUGCGCACAGUACCAGCCUCAACAAUCACGUACGGAUUCACGAAGUGAGCGCAGGUUCCGUGAGCGCCGGCAUCCAGUGAUGGCGUUGCCCGCGUCGACUUUUUUGGGUACGACUGCGAUGAAACAUUGCGUGCACUGCCUUUUCAACUCUUGACUACCGUAAUCUCGCGCGUAUUAGCCGCGGCUUGUGCGCGAUUUUUUUUUUGUCUCACGGGCGCCCCGCAUCUUAUCCAUAGGGUUCUUCGUUUUCGAGUUUUAAGAUUUUUUUUUGGAAAUUGGGGGAGGAAAAAUCGGGUGCUAUUUAUGCACGAGAAUUCGGGGAGAAAUCAGGCGCUACGAUCUCCGUUUGAUAUGUCAUCGAGGAAUUUUCGGGUGAAACGAGAAGGCAUACGAAACGAGCCACUGCUGUGACAUUGGGACGAGAAACAAGGAUCUUUAUAUAUUUCCGCUCGGAACUGGGGGCAGUUAAUGACGACGGCUGUAUUCAAACACUUGCCCGAGCUCCACAAAAGCUCUUCUUUGACCCCUGCAGGAGGGGAUUAUAAAAGAAAGGACAAAUAGGUUGCCACAAAUAGCACUCUUUGCUGAUAUUAUGGUCCAUUUUUCCGACGAUUUACCUAGAACGACAAGUUGAAGGACCGCGAGGAAUUCGGGUAGAUAUCGGGUUUUUACCCGAAUUCUGGAAAACUUGUUCGAGGGGGGGGGGGGGGGAACUAUAGUGAAAAAUCGGAUUUAACCGGAAAACGAAGAACCCUACUUAUCCACCGGCUUAGCUGAUGACUGUUUUUUUUAUUGUAUUUUCCCCAUAUGCCGGUAUUAACGAUGGGGCCGACAGUGUCUCUGGAACAGCACUGCCCUGCUGAUGCACAAACACUGCGUAACAGGGACCAGUCCACAUUCGAGUAGAUUGAUCUUCCCGGUGCAUAAUUCCCCCAAGCAGCUUUAACGAAAGCGGUGACAGUGAUUCGCGUCUUCUGGAAGAUCACUGAUCCGUCAAUCCACGAAUAACGCCCGGCAAGGGCACGAUCCGAUCUCGGUAGAACUCUACAGAGCCGAUCUCCUUUAAACGUGCGCUAUGCUGACCCCGAAGUAUGGACCACAGGGUUUAUGGCCUUCUCUACGGUCUCCCUUGUCGUACAAACCAGUCAGCUCGUAUUGCCCGCGGCUUAUCUGCCAGAAAAUUUUCAAAACGUUCCUAAAAACGCGUCCUGCGGCUUAUCUGCCAGAACAUUUUCAAAACGUUCCUAAAAUCGCGUCCUGCAGCUUAUCUGCCAGAAAAUUUUCAAAAACGUUCCUAAAAACGCGUCCUGCGGCUCAUCUGCGGUGCGGCUUGUACGCGUGAAAUUACGGUAUUCAGAACAUUUUUGGAAAAAUGCCCCUUGUUUACAGAGAGCAGGGUUUUCGAACUUCCUUUUUUUCUUUUUAUCAAGUAAAGGGGAUGUGGAUAAAAGUACGCAGAUACUACUUUUUACAGGAACUGUAGUGUGAAAAGACAACCACUUUGCAGAGCUUGGUUUUGUGACAACACACAUGAGCCAUUAAAUCUCAGUUCUUCAUACUUUGCAUA